rnacentral:rRNA from 1 species
ACGCUCGACACCUACGGGAGGCAGCAGUGAGGAAUAUUGGUCAAUGGACGCAAGUCUGAACCAGCCAUGCCGCGUGCAGGAUGACGGCUCUAUGAGUUGUAAACUGCUUUUGUACGAGGGUAAACGCAGAUACGUGUAUCUGUCUGAAAGUAUCGUACGAAUAAGGAUCGGCUAACUCCGUGCCACAGCCGCGGUAAUCUGAGCGGGCUGCAAGGC